rnacentral:rRNA from 1 species
CCGGACCGGCGCACGGGUGAGUAACACGUAUGGAACCUGCCCGCAGCAGGGGGAUAAGCGGAAGAAAUUCCGUCUAAUACCGCGUAACACCGCGGAGGGGCAUCCCUCGGCGGUUAAAGAUUCAUCGGCUGCGGAUGGCCAUGCGGCGCAUUAGCUAGUCGGCGGGGUAACGGCCCACCGAGGCGACGAUGCGUAGGGGUUCUGAGAGGAAGGUCCCCCACACUGGUACUGAGACACGGACCAGACUCCUACGGAAGGCAGCAG